rnacentral:rRNA from 1 species
UACGAAGGGGGCUAGCGUUGCUCGGAAUCACUGGGCGUAAAGCGCACGUAGGCGGAUUGUUAAGUCAGGGGUGAAAUCCUGGAGCUCAACUCCAGAACUGCCUUUGAUACUGGCGAUCUUCGAGUCCGGGAGAGGUGAGUGGAACUGCGAGUGUAGAGGUGAAAUUCGUAGAUAUUCGCAAGAACACCAGUGGCGAAGGCGGCUCACUGGCCCGGUACUGACGCUGAGGUGCGAAAGCGUGGGGAGCAAACAGG